rnacentral:tRNA from 1 species
GCCGCGGUAGUAUAGCCCGGACCAGUAUGCGGGCCUGUCAAGCCCGUGACCCGGGUUCAAAUCCCGGCCGCGGCGCCA